AUAAUACUUCCUCCGUCCAAUAAAAGAUGUCUCAAAUUUGUCAAAAUUUGGAUGUGUCUAAACAUGACUUAGUGUAUAUGUGCAUUUAAAUUUAGUUAAAAUCAAGACACCAUUUGUUGAACUGAGGGAGUACGAA
rnacentral:pre_miRNA from 1 species